UAAUACGAACUGCGCGAACGUUAUUCGGAAUCACUGGGCUUACAGGGUGCGUAGGCGGCUUUUCAGGUCCGAUGUGAAAUCCCCCAGCUCAACUGGGGAACGGCAUUGGAAACCGGAUGGCUGGAGUGAGCUAGAGGUGCACGGAACUUUCGGUGGAGCGGUGAAAUGUGUUGAGAUCGGAAGGAACACCAGAGGCGAAGGCGGUGCACUGGGGCUUGUCUGACGCUGAGGCACGAAAGCCAGGGGAGCGAACGGGAUUAGAUACCCCGGUAGUCCUGGCUGUAAACGAUCAGUACUGGACGGAGGGAGGCUUGCCUUUCUCGGUCGUAGCGAAAGCGAUAAGUACUGCGCCUGGGGAGUAUGGUCGCAAGGCUG
rnacentral:rRNA from 1 species